rnacentral:rRNA from 1 species
GAUGAACGCUGGCGGCGUGCUUAACACAUGCAAGUCGAACGAAGCAAUUUAUCACGAUCCCUUCGGGGUGACGAUUUAUUGACUGAGUGGCGGACGGGUGAGUAACGCGUGGGUAACCUACCUUGUACAGGGGGAUAACAGUUGGAAACGACUGCUAAUACCGCAUAAGCGCACAGCUUCGCAUGAAGCAGUGUGAAAAGUUUUUUCGGUAUAAGAUGGACCCGCGUCUGAUUAGCUAGUUGGUGAGGUAACGGCCCACCAAGGCGACGAUCAGUAGCCGACCUGAGAGGGUGACCGGCCACAUUGGGACUGAGACACGGCCCAAACUCCUACGGGAGGCAGCUAGUGGGGAAUAUUGCACAAUGGGCGAAAGCCUGAUGCAGCGACGCCGCGUGAGCGAAGAAGUAUUUCGGUAUGUAAAGCUCUAUCAGCAGGGAAGAUAAUGACGUA